rnacentral:rRNA from 1 species
GAUGAACGCUGGCGGCGUGCCUAACACAUGCAAGUCGAACGGAGUCCAGCCUUUAAGACCUUCGGGUCAAAGAGGGGAAGACUGGGUGGCGGACGGGUGAGUAACACGUGGGCAACCUGGCUCAUAGAGGGGGAUAACAGAGAGAAAUUUCUGCUAAUACCGCAUAAGCACACACUGCCGCAUGGCAGAGGGUGAAAAGAGAAUCGCUAUGAGAUGGACCCGCGUCUGAUUAGCCAGUUGGCAGGGUAAGAGCCUACCAAAGCGACGAUCAGUAGCCGAUCUGAGAGGAUGAACGGCCACAUUGGGACUGAGACACGGCCCAAACUCCUACGGGAGGCAGCAGUGGGGGAUAUUGCACAAUGGGGGGAACCCUGAUGCAGCGACGCCGCGUGAGUGAAGAAGUAUUUCGGUAUGUAAAGCUCUAUCAGCAGGGAAGAUAAUGACAGUACCUGAAUAAGAAGCCCCGGCUAACUACGUG